UGUAGACUUCCUCUAGCUGCUCCUAGAGUUCCCUGCCAGAGGCCAAGGGAUGGCCUGGAGUGUCUGGGGGCUGCGGCCAGCGGCAGAGGGUGCAAAGGGCAGAGUUCCUCCAGGGGGGCACGGUGCAGGAGAGACGAGGCCUGAGAGGCUGAGCUGGGGGCAGCAGCAGUCACAGUGUGGCGGAGCAACUGGGUUGAGGGGCAGGAGAGUGAAGGUGCAAGAGCCAGGUGAGGGAGGACAGCGACCUAGGGAAGAGCCUGUGAUGGGACAGGACAGGAAGCAGCAGCCAAGUCCCAGACAAGUCCCUGGGCCUGUCCUCCAAAACUUUGACCACCCGCAGUGACCAGCCUGACUUGGGGUGCUGCUUGAUCCGAGGAAGGGAAUGGGACAGGGUCCACUCACAGGGUUCACCUGUAGCACUCCUGCAGCCAAAGCACGGGCUGAUGGUAUUAAGUGAGACUCCACCUGGGCAGGCGUGGCAUUGCUCCCUGUAGGGCAGGAAGUUCCGCGCUAAGCUGGGCUCUGGCAGCUCUUGCAGGAAGUGAAGGCUUAGCUGGGGAAGGGGACCCAGACCCACAGCUCCUUCAGGGCUAGGUUUGGAAUCAGGGAUGGAAACAGUACCCGAGGUCCAAGAUGGCAAAGGGCACACAGGAGAACAGGAAGAUUGAGCCCUAAUUGGCCUCCUCUGUGAGCACAAAGAAGAACGAGGAUGUGUAAGCAUGCUGACACGCUGCAGGGAGAAGUAAGAACACCUGAGAUUCUGUUGUUUACCCGGACAAGUGCCAUGGAGGGAGGCAGACAGAUGAAUCCUGCUCAACUCUAAUUGCUUGGGGCCAGGUCUUAGUGAACAAAGCCGAGGUGCGCCAGUCACUCAGGGCUCUAUGUCGAAGGUGGACAAGAGCCUCAUGGCCUUCCAGAUUUUAACCCAAUUCUGUGUCUUUCCUUUUUUAUCCUUGUCACUCCUUGGUCAGGUUCAAGCUCGUAGGCUGGUUCCUACUCUGUCUUUUCAUAGCUUGAUGGCUCCUUUCUUCUUAGUGCUGGAGACCUACUGAAAGACAUCUUGGUUGCCUCCAAGUUUUGGCAAUUACAAGUAAAGCUGCUAUAAACAUCUGUGUGUAGGUUUUCGUGUGAACUUUAAGUUUUCAACUCCUUUAAGUAAAUUACCCAGGAGCAUGAGAGCUGGGUUGUAUGGUAACAACAUGCUUAGUUUUGUUAGAAACUGCCAAGUAGUCUUCCAAAGUGGCUGUGCUACUUUACAUUCCUAUCAGCUCCAUAUCCUGCCUGCAUUUGGUGGUGUGAGCAUUCUAGAUUUUGGCCAUUCUAAUAUGUACAUAGUGGUUGUUUUAAAAUUUGCAUUUCCAUGAUAAUACGUGUAUUAGGGUCCUCCGGAGGAACAAAGACAAUAGAAUGCAUAUGUAAGGGGGGAUGUAUGAUUGGCUUACGCGGCCAGAGCUGGAUAGUUCCACGGUGGCUGGCUGUAGGGUAGAGAGCCAGGGAAAUUAGUAGCUUCUCAGUCCUGGAAGCUGGAAGCCUCAGAACAUCAAGGACCACUGAUGCAGCCUUAGACCAAGAUGGG
ensembl:lncRNA